rnacentral:rRNA from 1 species
AUGUGUGUACCAAAGAGGAAGGGAGGAAUGGGGUUUCGAGACCUUCACAGUUUUAAUCUUGCUAUGUUAGCAAAGCAGUGUUGGCGGCUUCUCCAGAAUCCUGAUUCCUUGUGUGCUCGAGUUCUAAGUGCAAAGUAUUAUCCAAAUGGUGAUAUUUUAAAAGCUGGACCUAAGAAAGGGUCCUCAUUUACUUGGCAAAGUAUAGUCGCUGGAAUUCAGACUUUGAAAAGAGGUUGUAUAUGGCGAGUUGGUUCAGGAUUGCAAAUAAAAAUUUGGGAAGAUCCAUGGAUCCCAUCUAGCGAAACAAGGAGAGUCAUUACACCAAGAGGAGGAACUGUGUUAACAUUGGUACAUGAUUUGAUUGACCCUCAUACGGGUCAAUGGGAUUUGGAUCUCAUUCUAUUCUCACCGGUGGAUGUCGCCAGAAUUGUGCAGAUUCCCCUUCGGAUUGAGGCUGUGGAAGAUUAUGUUGCAUGGAAAUAUACAAGAUCGGGAACUUUCUCGGUCCGAUUGGCGUAUCAUGCGAAGUUCAAUCAUCAAUUUGGGCGCCAAAUGGACAGAUCAGAUGGCCAGGGCAGUGUGCACAUAAAUCCGAUCUGGAAGGAAUUGUGGCAACUUCGUAUCCCAGGGAAAGUUAAACAUUUUGGAUGGAAGGUACUAAAGCGUGUAUUGCCAUGCCUAGGUGUCAUGGCUGGACGACACAUCCUGGUUCUUUCACAAUGCCCAAUAUGUAAAGUUGGGUUUGAUGAUAUACAACAUGUCAUCUUUAAUUGUUCAAGAGCAAAGGAGGUAUGUAUAACAACAACAACAAUUCCAAACAAGUUGGGGUAG